rnacentral:lncRNA from 1 species
AGUAUUUUUGGUAUUUUUAGUUUAUAGAUCUGAAAAUAUAAUAUGGAAAAUAGACCUAGGGGUCAUAGGUUUCACUAGAGGCUUCUCUCAUAAAGGAAAAUAAUACGAUGGGUGAACAAAGUGUCGAGGAAUUGAUAGAAAAGCGAAUAAUCAUGAAGAUAUCUAAGGCAAUGAUUAUGCAUAUAGGCAUCACGUCCGUGUCAAGUAGACCGAAUCGAUUCUCCAUCUACUACUAUUACUCCACACAUCGACCGACUCCUGCCUGCAUCUAGAGUAUUAAGUUCAUGAAGAACAGAGUAACGCAUUAAUUAAGAUGACAUGAUGUAGAGGGGUAAACUCAAGCAAUAUGAUGAAAACCCCAUCUUCCUAUCCUCGAUGGCAACAAUACAAUA